UACGAAGGGGGCUAGCGUUGUUCGGAAUCACUGGGCGUAAAGGGCGCGUAGGCGGCUGUUCAAGUCGGGGGUGAAAUCCCGUGGCUCAACCACGGAAUGGCCUUCGAUACUGGACGGCUCGAGACCGGAAGAGGUGAGUGGAACUGCGAGUGUAGAGGUGAAAUUCGUAGAUAUUCGCAGGAACACCAGUGGCGAAGGCGGCUCACUGGUCCGGUUCUGACGCUGAGGCGCGAAAGCGUGGGGAGCAAACAGG
rnacentral:rRNA from 1 species